rnacentral:rRNA from 1 species
AUUGAACGCUGGCGGCAUGCCUUACACAUGCAAGUCGAACGGUAACUGGUCUUCGGAUGCUGACGAGUGGCGAACGGGUGAGUAAUACAUCGGAACGUGCCUAGUAGUGGGGGAUAACUACUCGAAAGAGUGGCUAAUACCGCAUGAGAUCUACGGAUGAAAGCAGGGGAUCGCAAGACCUUGUGCUACUAGAGCGGCCGAUGGCAGAUUAGGUAGUUGGUGGGAUAAAAGCUUACCAAGCCGACGAUCUGUAGCUGGUCUGAGAGGACGAUCAGCCACACUGGGACUGAGAAACGGCCCAGAAUCCUACGGGAGGCAGCAGUGGGGAAUUUUGGACAAUGGGCGCAAGCCUGAUCCAGCAAUGCCGCGUGCAGGAUGAAGGCCUUCGGGUUGUAAACUGCUUUUGUACGGAACGAAAAGCCCCGGGUUAAUACCCUGGGGUCAUGACGGUACCGUAAGAAUAAGCACCGGCUAACUACGUGCCAGCAGCCGCCGUAA